GAUGAACGCUAGCUACAGGCUUAACACAUGCAAGUCGAGGGGCAGCACAGUGUAGCAAUACACGGGUGGCGACCGGCGCACGGGUGCGUAACGCGUAUCCAACCUUCCCGUUACUCAGGGAUAGCCUUCCGAAAGGGAGAUUAAUACCUGAUGGUGUUCAAAUUCCGCAUGUUAUUUGAACUAAAGAUUCAUCGGUAACGGAUGGGGAUGCGUUCCAUUAGGUAGUAGGCGGGGUAACGGCCCACCUAGCCAACGAUGGAUAGGGGUUCUGAGAGGAAGGUCCCCCACACUGGAACUGAGACACGGUCCAGACUCCUACGGGAGGCAGCAGUGAGGAAUAUUGGUCAAUGGGCGCAAGCCUGAACCAGCCAAGUAGCGUGAAGGAUGACUGCCCUAUGGGUUGUAAACUUCUUUUAUACGGGAACAAACCUUGGUACGCGUACCAAAUUGCGUGUACCGUAUGAAUAAGCAUCGGCUAACUCCGUG
rnacentral:rRNA from 1 species